rnacentral:rRNA from 1 species
CACUCCUACGGGAGGCAGCAGUGGGGAAUAUUGGACAAUGGGCGCAAGCCUGAUCCAGCCAUGCCGCGUGAGUGAUGAAGGCCCUAGGGUUGUAAAGCUCUUUCACCGGAGAAGAUAAUGACGGUAUCCGGAGAAGAAGCCCCGGCUAACUUCGUGCCAGCAGCCGCGGUAAUACGAAGGGGGCUAGCGUUGUUCGGAAUUACUGGGCGUAAAGCGCACGUAGGCGGAUCGAUCAGUCAGGGGUGAAAUCCCAGGGCUCAACCCUGGAACUGCCGUUGAUACUGUCGAUCUGGAGUAUGGAAGAGGUGAGUGGAAUUCCGAGUGUAGAGGUGAAAUUCGUAGAUAUUCGGAGGAACACCAGUGGCGAAGGCGUCUCACUGGUCCAUUACUGACGCUGAGGUGCGAAAGCGUGGGGAGCAAACAGGAUUAGAUACCCGGGUAGUCCC